GUGCUCGCUUCGGCAGCGCAUGGACUGCCAUUGGAGCCAUACAGAGGUUAGCAUGGCCCCUGCGCGAGGAUGAUGGCAAAUUCGUGAAGCGUUCCAUGUUUAA